rnacentral:rRNA from 1 species
UUGGAGGGCAAGUCUGGUGCCAGCAGCCGCGGUAAUUCCAGCUCCAAUAGCGUAUAUUAAAGUUGUUGCAGUUAAAAAGCUCGUAGUUGAAUUUCGGGAUCAAUAUUUCGGUCAUGCCGUUGGUAUGCACUGUUAUCAUUGAUUUCUCACCUUCUAAAGAACCGUAAUGCCAUUAAUUUGGUGUUACGGGGAAUUAGGACUGUUACCUUGAAAAAAUUAGAGUGUUUAAAGCAGGCUCACGCUUGAAUACAUUAGCAUGGAAUAAUGAAAUAGGACAUCCGAUUCUAUUUUGUUGGUUUCUAGGAUCGAUGUAAUGAUUAAUAGGGAUAGUUGGGGGCAUUAGUAUUCAAUUGUCAGAGGUGAAAUUCUUGAAUUUAUUGAAGACUAACUACUGCGAAAGCAUUUGCCAAGGAUGUUUUCAUUAAUCAAGAACGAAAGUUAGGGGAUCGAAGACGAUCAGAUACCGUCGUAGUCUUAACCAUAAACUAUGCCGACUAGGGAUCGGAUGAUGUUAAUUUUUUAAUGACUCAUUCGGCGCCUUACGGGAAAC